AAAAACACGACCAAAGGAGGAGAACGGGCUCGCCUCCUCUCCCUCUCGCUCAAGUCCUCGCCGCCGCCGCCACCACCCACGCCGGCAGCUUCCGGCGAGCUCCGACGCCGCGCAGCACGCCCCCCAACUCCCCAGAGUCCGCUCCUCCCUACCCUCCGGCCAGAUUCUCCGCUCCCGGCCUCUACCGCCCGCUCGAAACGCCACCCCCAUGGCUAGGGUUUCGGGCAGGGCUUCGCCGGCGCGUCUCCGGCGGCCCAGAUGCAGAUGGAGCACGCCAUGGGAAUUCCCCAUCCACCAUGGUCGCCGCCAUCAAGGGCUUCUUCACGGAGAUGUGGAGGACGCCAUGGACCUGCAGCUCCAAGGUUCUAUCUUAGGGCGAGAAGAUCUUCUUAUCUACAAUGGCGAUGCAUGAACCGACGACGAACUGAAGCUGCGACCCAUGGGCUGGCCCUGCCUGCGUGCGUCCGCCAGAACCAGAAACAGACCAGAAAAGGGAAGCAACUAAGGCAUCCGGCUGCCUGAAACUUGCUCAGGGGGCGGCCUAUGGGCACGGCGUACAAGCUCUCUACUCUCUGUCAUCUUAUAUCUCUGAAUUUUCUUUUGCUGCAUGUGCAGGUGUAUGACAGGAACAAUAACUAGCAUGAACCUGGAGGAGUAAGAAGCAGCGACAUCUGGGUUUGCAAUGGCCAAAGAACUCAACAAUUCAUAGUUGGGUCACUUAUUUCUCCCCAGCUCGGUGACUUGGUCAACUGCGCACUUCAGAAGAAUAAGUACUUCUGAAUGUUAAAGCCAAUGUGGGCUAGCAAACUGUAGAGAUAAUUGAUUUGUUUCCAUGUCUACCUUACAGUAUUCAGACUUGGGAGAGAAGGUGCCUCAUGGUAGAAGCUUGACAUAGGUGUGGCCUUGAAUGCCAAGAUUUUUAUGAGUAGCCUCAGCCUUCUGUUCUCCCUACAGAUUCAGGAUUCAAAAGAUCAAUGGGAGUUUGUUUCACACAGUACAAGAGCAAUAUGGUGCUUUUUUGUACUUUCUGAAGAACAAUUCCAUGCAAGACACCAUCAAAAAGCCUGCUACUGCAGAUGCUUCCUCGCGGAAUCACAGCUUGAUGGAGCUUGCUGCACCUCUGGAACAAGCAGCCGCUUACAAAGAGAAGCUUGAAGGCUCAAACAGAUGUACAUAACGAAAUUCAGAGUUCCAACAGUGCAUAUGUGCAAGAGCGUAGUUCACUUGGAAUUUGCUCGUGGUGGAGACGUUCCACCCACAAAAAAAAGGUGAAGACGUCCUGAAACUUCAUGAGGUAAUUUAGUAACUCGGUUCGGUGAGUACAUUUAUGCGUAAAUAGAAAAAAUGUCCAUAUAAUCAAGACAAUGAGUUUGUUGUAGGCAUGUAAAAUUGUGUAUUAAUUUUUUUAUUAAUCCUAUAACUUGACAAAUCUGAUUUAUAUCGCAUGUGAUGUUGUAAUAGGAGAGGGCUGGACACCAUUCUAUCUGAUAAUGAAUUGAUUCCAAGAAUGGAUCUUGGUAGUUUUGAGUAAUUUCAUACUAUUGUUUUGCUACUUGCAAAGUUAUUUGAGUGGUAGUAUGUGCAAAAAAAAUGUAUUCGAGUGUUAAUUUGUUUUAUAGGUUUC